UAAAAAGUUUCCCUUUUUAGAUACUACUAGC
rnacentral:piRNA from 1 species